rnacentral:rRNA from 1 species
GACGAACGCUGGCGGCGUGCUUAACACAUGCAAGUCGAACGCUGAACCCGCUUCGGUGGGGGAUGAGUGGCGAACGGGUGAGUAACACGUGGGCAACCUGCCCCCGGCUCUGGGAUAACUCAAAGAAAUUGGGGCUAAUACCGGAUGUGACCGCUGGCCGCAUGGUCUGGUGGUGGAAAGGGUUUCCGGCUGGGGAUGGGCCCGCGGCCUAUCAGCUUGUUGGUGGGGUAGUGGCCUACCAAGGCGACGACGGGUAGCCGGCCUGAGAGGGUGACCGGCCACACUGGGACUGAGAUACGGCCCAGACUCCUACGGGAGGCAGCAGUGGGGAAUAUUGCGCAAUGGGCGGAAGCCUGACGCAGCGACGCCGCGUGGGGGAUGACGGCCUUCGGGUUGUAAACCUCUUUCAGCAGGGACGAAGCGCAAGUGACGGUACCUGCAGAAGAAGCACCGGCCAACUACGUG